UUCUGGUUGAUCCUGCCAGAGGCCACUGCUAUCGGAGUUCGAUUAAGCCAUGCGAGUCGAGAGGUGCAAGACCUCGGCAUACUGCUCAGUAACACGUGGACAAUCUAACUUAUGGAAGGGGAUAACCCCGGGAAACUGGGGAUAAUACCCUAUAGACUAUGAAUGCUGGAAUGCUUUGUAGUCCAAAGGUCAGCCGCCAUAGGAUGGGUCUGCGGCCGAUUAGGUUGUUGUUGGGGUAACGGCCCAACAAGCCUGUAAUCGGUACGGGUUGUGGGAGCAAGAGCCCGGAGAUGGAUUCUGAGACACGAAUCCAGGCCCUACGGGGCGCAGCAGGCGCGAAAACUUUACAAUGCGGGAAACCGUGAUAGGGGAACUCCGAGUGCCCGUUAAAUCGGGCUGUCCAUCAGUUUAAAUAACUGGUGAAGAAAGGGCCGGGCAAGACCGGUGCCAGCCGCCGCGGUAAUACCGGCGGCUCGAGUGGUGGCCACUAUUACUGGGCUUAAAGCGUUCGUAGCUGGUUUGUUAAGUCUCUGGGGAAAUCUUCCGGCUUAACCGGAAGGCGUUUCAGGGAUACUGGCAGACUAGGGACCGGGAGAGGUGAGGGGUACUCCAGGGGUAGGAGUGAAAUCCUGUAAUCCUUGGGGGACCACCUGUGGCGAAGGCGCCUCACCAGAACGGCUCCGACAGUGAGGGACGAAAGCUGGGGGAGCAAACCGGAUUAGAUACCCGGGUAGUCCCAGCCGUAAACGAUGUGCGUUAGGUGUAUCGGUGACCACGAGUCACCGAGGUGCCGAAGAGAAAUCGUGAAACGUACCGCCUGGGAAGUACGGUCGCAAGGCUGAAACUUAAAGGAAUUGGCGGG
rnacentral:rRNA from 1 species